rnacentral:misc_RNA from 1 species
AAGUCGUAACAAGGUUUCCGUAGGUGAACCUGCGGAAGGAUCAUUAAAAAUUUUGCCGGAACCAAUUGAAUUUUUUUUUCUAUUGGCCGGUCAAAAAAAGUUGCGUGCACCGUUUCGUUUCUCCUUGGCAGGGGCUUUGGUUCUUUUUGACCCAACUUUCGCACUGGCUCCAUCCUCCCUUUUUUUGGGGGGGACAGCCGGUGUGUUAAAGCCGUUUCCCUGCCGAGGAAAUUCAUAAAAAAACACGCUUUGCAGAAAACCUCUUGUCUGAAAAUUUUUUUUUUGCGAUUUUUUGCGCAUAACGAUAAAACAAAAAUAUAACUUUCAACAACGGAUCUCUUGGCUCUC